rnacentral:rRNA from 1 species
GAUGAACGCUGACAGAAUGCUUAACACAUGCAAGUCUACUUGAAACACUUUCGGUGUGGAUGGUGGCGGACGGGUGAGUAACGCGUAAAGAACUUGCCCCUUAGCCUGGGACAACUGUUGGAAACGACAGCUAAUACCGGAUAUUAUGAGACUCUGGCAUCAGAGACUUAUGAAAGCUAUAUGCGCUAAGGGAGAGCUUUGCGUCCUAUUAGCUAGUUGGUGAGGUAAUGGCUCACCAAGGCGACGAUAGGUAGCCGGCCUGAGAGGGUGAACGGCCACAAGGGGACGUGAGACACGGCCCUUACUCCUACGGGAGGCAGCAGUGGGGAAUAUUGGACAAUGGACCAAAAAGUACUGAUCCAGCAAUUCUGUGUGCUUG